UCGGUUAAUCCGGCAACGAGCGCAACCCACAUCCCUAGUUGCCAGCAGGUUAAGCUGGGCACUCUACGGAAACUGCCCGUGAUAAGCGGGAGGAAGGUGUGGAUGACGUCAAGUCCUCAUGGCCCUUACGGGUUGGGCUACACACGUGCUACAAUGGUGGUGACAAUGGGUUAAUCCCAAAAAGCCAUCUCAGUUCGGAUUGGGGUCUGCAACUCGACCCCAUGAAGUCGGAAUCGCUAGUAAUCGCGUAACAGCAUGACGCGGUGAAUACGUUCCCGGGCCUU
rnacentral:rRNA from 1 species